AGUUUAUGGCACUAUUCUGGGCAUUGAACAAAACUCAGGGUAGUAUCAGCCAGCCUUCAAGGAUUACCAUAUAAAAGUUGGAGGGAGAAAAGUAGAAGUCUGUGUUUCAAAUACAUAGAUAUCUCUGGCACAAGGAAGUAUUGGAUAAAUCCCUGAAUUUGGUGUAAUGAAGGCUACAAAAGAACUUGAAAAUGGUUGUCAUUCUCAAAGUGAAAGAAUACAAGAUGCUGUAUGACUCCGUACCCACAUUAGGGGGCCGUCAAAAGUUCAGAGGAAGAACAGCUGGAGGAGAGCUGAAAUACAUGAACAGGGACCCGAGGAACAGGGGAAGCCAGACUCCAUGUUAAGAGGACACUCAAGCAGCCCACGGAAAGACUUAUCUGGAGAGGACUGUGGGCCGAUAGCCAACACCAACUUGUCAGGCAUGUGAUGAGCCAAUAUGGAAGUGGAUCUUCCAGACCCAGUGAAGCCUUCAGAUGCUUUCAGAAGCCUCCAGAUAACCUCAAGACACCCUGACUCAGAGCAUCCACUUACCUGCUUCUAAAUUCCUGACCCACUGGAAUUGUGAGAUAACAAAUGUUUUGGAACAUUGAGUUUUGGGGUAAUUUUUAAAGUAGCAAUAGAUUAAUAUAAUUUAUUAGGUCUCACCUAAGAAUGCAUAAAAAUCAAGAAGAGAUUGAUA